rnacentral:rRNA from 1 species
GUGGGGAAUUUUGGACAAUGGGCGCAAGCCUGAUCCAGCAAUGCCGCGUGCAGGAAGAAGGCCUUCGGGUUGUAAACUGCUUUUGUACGGAACGAAACGGUCCUGGUUAAUACCUGGGGCUAAUGACGGUACCGUAAGAAUAAGCACCGGCUAACUACGUGCCAGCAGCCGCGGUAAUACGUAGGGUGCGAGCGUUAAUCGGAAUUACUGGGCGUAAAGCGUGCGCAGGCGGUGCUGUAAGACAGGCGUGAAAUCCCCGGGCUCGACCUGGGAAUUGCGCUUGUGACUGCAGUGCUGGAGUACGGCAGAGGGGGAUGGAAUUCCGCGUGUAGCAGUGAAAUGCGUAGAUAUGCGGAGGAACACCGAUGGCGAAGGCAGUCCCCUGGGCCUGUACUGACGCUCAUGCACGAAAGCGUGGGGAGCAAACAGGAUUAGAAACCCGGGUAGUCC